rnacentral:rRNA from 1 species
GACGAGGGGUCCAAGCGUUUGUUCGGAAUUAUUGGGCGUAAAGCGGGUGUAGGCGGCUCUAUAAGUUAGAAGUGAAAGCCCUGGGCUUAACCCGGGAAGUGCUUUUAAUACUGCAGAGCUUGAAUGUGGGAGAGGGUAGUGGAAUUCCAGGUGUAGUGGUGAAAUACGUAGAUAUCUGGAGGAACACCGGUGGCGAAGGCAGCCCCCUGGGCCAAUACUGACGCUCAUGCACGAAAGCGUGGGGAGCAAACAGG